AACCCUCAAGCUCAGCUUGGUAUUGAGUCUAUGUCAGCAAUGGCAGGCUCCAAAAUCAGUGGCGGCGCCGCUGGGUCCUGAACGUAGUAAUAUCUCUCGUUAUAGGUGCUCGGUGUGCUUCUGCCAAAACCCCAAAUUUUUCUAUGGUU
rnacentral:rRNA from 2 species